rnacentral:rRNA from 1 species
GGGGAAUCUUGCACAAUGGAGGAAACUCUGAUGCAGCGAUGCCGCGUGAGUGAAGAAGGCCUUUGGGUUGUAAAGCUCUUUCGUCGGGGAAGAAAAUGACUGUACCCGAAUAAGAAGGUCCGGCUAACUUCGUGCCAGCAGCCGCGGUAAU